GACGAACGCUGGCGGCGUGCUUAACACAUGCAAGUCGAACGGAAAGGCCCUGCUUGCAGGGUACUCGAGUGGCGAACGGGUGAGUAACACGUGGGUGAUCUGCCCUGCACUUCGGGAUAAGCCUGGGAAACUGGGUCUAAUACCGGAUAUGACCUUCCAUGUAGUGUGGGGGGUGGAAAGAUUUGUCGGUGUGGGAUGAGCCCGCGGCCUAUCAGCUUGUCGGUGGGGUAAUGGCCUACCAAGGCGUCGACGGGUAGCCGGCCUGAGAGGGUGGACGGCCACAUUGGGACUGAGAUGCGGCACAGACUCCUACGGGAGGCAGCGGUGGGGAAUAUUACACAGUGGACUGAAGCCUGAUGCAGCGACGCCGCGUGGGGGAUGACGUCCUUCGGGUUGUAUUCCUCUUUCGACAGGGACGAAGCUUCGGUGACGGUACCUGGAGAAGAAGCACCGGCUAACUACGUG
rnacentral:rRNA from 1 species